UACGGAGGGUGCGAGCGUUGUCCGGAAUCACUGGGCGUAAAGGGCGCGUAGGCGGCUUCUCAAGCGUGUGGUGAAAGUCCGGGGCUCAACCCCGGAUCGGCCGUGCGGACUGGGGAGCUCGAGUUCUGUAGAGGCGGGUGGAAUUCCGGGUGUAGCGGUGGAAUGCGUAGAGAUCCGGAAGAACACCGGUGGCGAAGGCGGCCUGCUGGGCUAUGGCUGACACUGAGGCGCGGACAGCGUGGGGAUCAAACAGG
rnacentral:rRNA from 1 species